CCCGCCUGCCCUGUGACCAAAAGUUUAACGGCCGCGGUACUUUGACCGUGCGAAGGUAGCGCAAUCACUUGUCUUUUAAAUGGAGACCUGUAUGAAUGGCAUAACGAGGGCUAAACUGUCUCCUUUCUCCAGUCAAUGAAAUUGAUCUGCCCGUGCAGAAGCGGGCAUAUAAACAUAAGACGAGAAGACCCUAUGGAGCUUCAGACACCAGAACAGCCCGCAUAAAUAAACCUUAGUAAAAAGAUCAAACCAAACGGCCCCUGUUCCCCUGUCUUCGGUUGGGGCGACCGCGGGGAAACAAAAAUCCCCCACGUGGAAUAGGAACACCCUCCUUAAAAAUAGGGCCACACCCCUGAUAAACAGAAAAUCUGACCAGCAAUGACCCGGCAAAGCCGAUCAACGGACCCAGUUACCCUAGGGAUAACAGCGCAAUCCUCUUUUAGAGCCCAUAUCGACAAGAGGGUUUACGACCUCGAUGUUGGAUCAGGACAUCCUAAUGGUGCAGCCGCUAUUAAGGGUUCGUUUGUUCAACGAUUAACAGUCCUACGUGAUCUG
rnacentral:rRNA from 1 species